rnacentral:rRNA from 1 species
GACGAACCGAGCGAACGUUGUUCGGAAUCACUGGGCUUAAAGGGCGCGUAGGCGGGUGGUUAAGUCCGCGGUGAAAUCCGGCAGCUCAACUGUCGAAUUGCCGUGGAUACUGGCCAUCUCGAGGGAGGCAGGGGUGCGCGGAACUAAUGGUGGAGCGGUGAAAUGCGUUGAUAUCAUUAGGAACUCCGGUGGCGAAGGCGGCGCACUGGUCCUUUUCUGACGCUGAGGCGCGAAAGCCAGGGGAGCAAACGGG